ensembl:lncRNA
GGGAAAUAGAGCAGGAGUACCAUGCAAGAACCAUACAAGCUGAAUACCAAGUGCUUUCUAUACUUUUGAAAAGUGUUGUGAGCCUCUCACGGACCACAAUGACGAGAACGGGGGCAGCUGAUCUGGCAUCUCUACAGUAAUGUUGUAUGAACACAAACAAAAUGUUUCUUCNCACAGCAAUCCAAUUGGCCUGAAUCCAGGCACACAUGAAAGAAAGAAAAAAAGCGCCUUUCGCCCGCAUAAAGAUUCCGUCCCAUAAUGGGAGAAGGGCACUGUUUUCAAGCCGCAUACGUGUUCACGAUGAUCUAUCAAUGUAAUCUUUACAGGGAGGCUGGCUGCCGCGCCCUCCCGCGACACAGUCACCCUGCAGCUCCGGGCCCCGCUUGCCAUGGGGAACUUGACCAACCGCUGGCAGCCGCACUCUGUCGCCACUCUCGCUUCCAGAUGUCAAGCGCCGCCNCGCCCGCCAACGAGUUUGUGCGCACCAGUGCAUGCGUGCUAGUGUCUUCGGAAAGCCGAGGCGGCUUCCAAAAGCGGGGCGCCUGAAAAAAAGCCCCCGCGACCAAAGGAAAUUGUUGGUGGCUUUUGCGACACUUACCCGUACGUCCGUUACCGCCUGGCGUGGCGCCUAUUUGCACCCCGCGGCGGCACUGCCAUACAGGUCUCUUCCCGUUUCUUGAAGGGACUCGUAGCGCAAGAGCGAGCGAGCGAGGGAGGGACCGGCGAANUGGUCAACGUUCUUCUCGCCUCCGCCCUUUCCUUCCGUAGGCAUCGUCUGUAAUUUCUAUCUGGCCGGCAACCCUGGUGUGUUGAGCGCAAAGGGGCGCGAGGGACGCGCACAUCGCGGGUCUUCCAGAGGUUGGGACUCCUUGGCGCGCCUGUUGCCUCAAGAAAACACACUUGAGAAUGUUCGGCAUCAGAAACAAAUGUGUGUCAUUAUGAACAUUUAUUUCCACAGUUCUUUAAUUAAUAUGUCUGCAGUUACCAUCUUCAUUCUAGGUUUUCUGCUACAAGUACAAACCAGCAUACAGCAGACCUUUUGGACAGCAGUGCUAAAAGACGUAAAUCUGCUCAAAAGCUAUUCUGAGAUCGAUGCCACUUUAUAUACUGCAAAUAUAUCAUAUCUUAGCGAUUGCAAUAAAUCAGUGAUGGAAUGCUUUCAUCUUGAGUUGCAAGUAAUUUGGCAUGAAUCUAGCCUUGGAGAUGAUAGGAAAUUGUAUGAUAUCGUGCAUCGUGUACAAAGAAAUGUUCAAAGCUCCUUACCAAAUAUUAAGGAUGUAGAAACAUCAAAGUGCCAGAAAUGUGAAACAUUUGAAGAAAAAAAAUACACAGAUUUUAUACAAAACUUCAUAAUUGUUUUACAGCAGUUAAACAGAAAAGAGCGUGAGCAGCGUCUUUGAAGAGAUUCACCAUUGUAACCAAAAGGAGUAAUUUCCUGCCCCCUGGGGGUAAGAGGGAAAAAGAUUGGAAAAAUGGAUGAGGAUGAAAAUAGAGCAAGAGGUGAUGAGAAAACACUUUAAAAAGCUGGGCAUUUUCCAGCAGAUCCACCAAUCUUUGGGAUGCUUUGAAUAACUUGCCAAUUUAAAUGAUAAGGAAAAUUUAAUGUGACUUUAAAAUAGCUUUGUAUAUGAGUUUUUCUUUGAAAACUGUGGUUCCUGCAAGCAAGCAAGCAAGCAAGCAAGCAAUGAUUGGCUGAUUUAACUUUCUGAUCAUGACUAACACUGUUGAUUACAUCAAUCAAUGUUAUUUUUUAAUUUUAGAAUGGUAGUUCUAGACCUUUAACAAGCUACAUUAAUUGAAAAUUCCUAUGAAGUCUUGAUGGGGGCAUCUAGUAUAAAUCCAGUAUAUGGAAGAAAGGAUGCAAAGUGCCCUGCGGUACUGAGAAUAUGCUCAGUUUUUGAAAUCAUUCUGUAUGUAUUUAAUUACUUUCAUUGAUUUAAAAGUAUAAUGUAAAAUUACCUAUCUAUCAAUCAGUUCUUUAAUAUGGUCAUGGAUCAGAUAGAAUGUGAAAUUAUUAAAUUCCAUAUAUGAUAGCAUGCAGUGAUAGGUAGAAUACAUUCAGUGACCACUAUGAUGAGCAGGGGGAUCAAAAUACUAAGUGUUGACAGUUUAAUGGAAACAUUUAAGUUCUGUAUGUAACUAUAUAAUUAGGAUAUAAUGUAUAACUGUUCUUAUCCCUAAUCAUGGGAGAUUAAUUUUAAAACAACACUUCUUCCAAUUUGAAAUGGUUUCUGCUGAACUGUGAAUCUCAUCAAUCCCAGCUAGCACAGCCAGUAGCAAGAAAUCGUCAGUGUUUCGGAUCAACAACAUCUGGAAAUGCUACAGGCAAGCAAUGCUUGGCUGACAAGUUGACUUUGCUUCUGAGAAUUGGCUAAAUUUGUCUAUGUAUUUAAAUUACUAUAUUGGUCUUUGCAACAAAGGGUGUCGGUUCGAUCCCCAGCCUCUCCCUGGAAAGAGGCAAUGGCAAACCACUUUUGUAUCUGUGCCAAGAAAACUGCAUGGAGAUGCCCAUGCAGUCACCUACAAGUUGGCCAUGACUCAGUGGUACCCAACAACAGCAGCAGCAGCAACAACAAAACAAACAUCCUUGUCUACUUUUGAAGGUUUAGAACUGUCCUUGAUACAAAAGAAAUUAGAAAGGCUUAUCCUAUAUGUAUGUAUGGAAUGGAAUCGUCUUUUGUGUGCAAGAGAACUUCAGAUAGUAGUAGAACCAUGAUAAAGACUGUACCCUUUCUACACUGGGCCUUAUUCCAGAUUAUAUUCUAGAAUAGGAGACUGCCAGCCACAUGCUAGUGUAGACUAUGGCAGGUCCUGGGUGGGGUCUGCCAUUGUCUGCAGCAGUAUGAGGACAGCCGGCCCCUAUUCUGGAAUAUAAUCCAGAAUAAGGCCCAGUGUAGAAGAGGACUGUGUUUUAUCUGCUUUUCUGUAUUUCUUUUCUAUACCAUGGCAUGGCAUCAGCAUUUUAAGAUAUAAUAGUUACCCUAUAUCUUCAUAUAGUGAAACCAAUGUAAAUGGAUCAAAACCUGUAUGAUUUAAAAAAACAAACAAAAAAAACCCCUCUGUGAAAUGUACCCAUUUAUAUUGCUGCAGAUCAAAUCUGUGGAAGUGUUCAUGGGGAAGAAAAAUCUAUCAAGAUUUCACGGAUUUAUUUUAUUAACUAGCAUUCCAUAGAUGUUGCCAAAUGGGAAUUAUUCUGUAUUUAUUUUCCUGAGUUCAUUAUUCUUUAAUUAUGAAAUUGUUCUUUGUUCAUGAAAGGUGUUGAAGUAAGGGAGCUGAGGUGGAGGGGCAGGGAAAUCAUCUAGUAAUUGCUGUGGAUUUCUUAUUUCUGAGGCACUGAUUUUGAAAGAAAUUGUUUUUUGUAGUUUUUGUAAAAAAAAAAAAAAAGCAACAAGAAAACGGUUAAUGUAUUUUUGUUUUUAAAAUUAAGAUUACCUGAGCUUUAGAAUUUGAAUCAUCACAUUUGGGAUAUAUAAGCGACAGCAGUUGGAUCAGUAUCUUGCUCAGAUUUCAACAGGGUUCUUCUCUCAUAUGUGGUGGAAAACACUCUGCAAAUAUUAAGUGAAUUACACUACAAACCUUCUAUGUUUGCAAAACAAUUAGAGACUCUGUCAGUUGGGACAUUGAGGUAUGAGAAGCUGAAGUAAAAGAUACUGUAGAUAAAGUAUACAAAUAAACCUGAAUUGUGAAAUAGAACA